AGUGAACGCUUGCGGUAGGCCUAACACAUGCAAGUCGGACGGCAGCACAGUAAGAGCUUGCUCUUACGGGUGGCGAGUGGCGGACGGGUGAGGAAUACAUCGGAAUCUACUUUUUCGUGGGGGAUAACGUAGGGAAACUUACGCUAAUACCGCAUACGACCUACGGGUGAAAGCAGGUGAUCUUCGGACCUUGCGCGAUUGAAUGCGCCGAUGUCGGAUUAGCUAGUUGGCGGGGUAAAGGCCCACCAAGGCGACGAUCCGUAGCUGGUCUGAGAGGAUGAUCAGCCACACUGGAACUGAGACACGGUCCAGACUCCUACGGGAGGCAGCAGUGGGGAAUAUUGGACAAUGGGCGCAAGCCUGAUCCAGCCAUACCGCGUGGGUGAAGAAGGCCUUCGGGUUGUAAAGCCCUUUUGUUGGGAAAGAAAAGCAGCAGGUUAAUACCCCGCUGUUCUGACGGUACCCAAAGAAUAAGCACCGGCUAACUUCGCG
rnacentral:rRNA from 1 species